rnacentral:ncRNA from 1 species
AGGAGACUCCACAACAGGAUGGUGGCCAUGGGAAUGGGAAUCCGCUAAAGAGCGUGUUACAACUCACCUGCCGAAUCAGCUACCCUGCAAAUGGCUGGCGCU